CAACUUUCAACAACGGAUCUCUUGGCUCUCGCAUCGAUGAAGAACGCAGCGAAAUGCGAUAAGUAAUGUGAAUUGCAGAAUUCAGUGAAUCAUCGAAUUUUUGAACGCACCUUGCGCUCCUUGGUAUUCCGAGGAGCAUGCCUGUUUGAGUGUCACGA
rnacentral:rRNA from 1 species